rnacentral:rRNA from 1 species
GACGAACGCUGGCGGCGUGCUUAACACAUGCAAGUCGAACGGAAAGGCCCUGCUUGCAGGGUACUCGAGUGGCGAACGGGUGAGUAACACGUGGGUGAUCUGCCCUGCACUUCGGGAUAAGCCUGGGAAACUGGGUCUAAUACCGGAUAGGAGCCAUUUUUAGUGUGAUGGUUGGAAAGUUUUUUCGGUGUAGGAUGAGCUCGCGGCCUAUCAGCUUGUUGGUGGGGUAAUGGCCUACCAAGGCGGCGACGGGUAGCCGGCCUGAGAGGGUGGACGGCCACAUUGGGCCUGAGAUACGGCCCAGACUCCUACGGGGGGCAGCAGUGGGGAAUAUUGCACAAUGGGCGCAAGCCUGAUGCAGCGACGCCGCGUGGGGGAUGACGGCCUUCGGGUUGUAAACUCCUUUCGCUAGGGACGAAGCUUUUUGUGACGGUACCUAGAUAAGAAGCACCGGCUAACUACGUG